rnacentral:rRNA from 1 species
GAUGAACGCUGGCGGCGUGCCUAAUACAUGCAAGUCGAGCGAACGGACGAGAAGCUUGCUUCUCUGAUGUUAGCGGCGGACGGGUGAGUAACACGUGGAUAACCUACCUAUAAGACUGGGAUAACUUCGGGAAACCGGAGCUAAUACCGGAUAAUAUUUUGAACCGCAUGGUUCAAAAGUGGAAGACGGUCUUGCUGUCACUUAUAGAUGGAUCCGCGCUGCAUUAGCUAGUUGGUAAGGUAACGGCUUACCAAGGCAACGAUGCAUAGCCGACCUGAGAGGGUGAUCGGCCACACUGGAACUGAGACACGGUCCAGACUCCUACGGGAGGCAGCAGUAGGGAAUCUUCCGCAAUGGGCGAAAGCCUGACGGAGCAACGCCGCGUGAGUGAUGAAGGUCUUCGGAUCGUAAAACUCUGUUAUUAGGGAAGAACAUAUGUGUAAGUAACUGUGCACAUCUUGACGGUACCUAAUCAGAAAGCCACGGCUAACUACGUGCCAGCAGCCGCGGUAAUACGUAGGUGGCAAGCGUUAUCCGGAAUUAUUGGGCGUAAAGCGCGCGUAGGCGGUUUUUUAAGUCUGAUGUGAAAGCCCACGGCUCAACCGUGGAGGGUCAUUGGAAACUGGAAAACUUGAGUGCAGAAGAGGAAAGUGGAAUUCCAUGUGUAGCGGUGAAAUGCGCAGAGAUAUGGAGGAACACCAGUGGCGAAGGCGACUUUCUGGUCUGUAACUGACGCUGAUGUGCGAAAGCGUGGGGAUCAAACAGGAUUAGAUACCCUGGUAGUCCACGCCGUAAACGAUGAGUGCUAAGUGUUAGGGGGUUUCCGCCCCUUAGUGCUGCAGCUAACGCAUUAAGCACUCCGCCUGGGGAGUACGACCGCAAGGUUGAAACUCAAAGGAAUUGACGGGGACCCGCACAAGCGGUGGAGCAUGUGGUUUAAUUCGAAGCAACGCGAAGAACCUUACCAAAUCUUGACAUCCUUUGACAACUCUAGAGAUAGAGCUUUCCCCUUCGGGGGACAAAGUGACAGGUGGUGCAUGGUUGUCGUCAGCUCGUGUCGUGAGAUGUUGGGUUAAGUCCCGCAACGAGCGCAACCCUUAAACUUAUUUGCCAUCAUUAAGUUGGGCACUCUAAGUUGACUGCCGGUGACAAACCGGAGGAAGGUGGGGAUGACGUCAAAUCAUCAUGCCCCUUAUGAUUUGGGCUACACACGUGCUACAAUGGACAAUACAAAGGGCAGCGAAACCGCGAGGUCAAGCAAAUCCCAUAAAGUUGUUCUCAGUUCGGAUUGUAGUCUGCAACUCGACUACAUGAAGCUGGAAUCGCUAGUAAUCGUAGAUCAGCAUGCUACGGUGAAUACGUUCCCGGGUCU